GGUUUUGUGGUUGAAUAACAACGUCAAAUUGCAAAUUUGAAGGUGUGCGUUAGAAAUGGCUCCAGAGCUU